rnacentral:rRNA from 1 species
UACGUAGGGGGCGAGCGUUGUCCGGAUUUAUUGGGCGUAAAGAGCGUGUAGGCGGCCUGGCAGGUCUGCUGUGAAAACUCGAGGCUCAACCUCGAGAUGUCGGCGGAAACCGUCUGGCUAGAGUCCGGAAGAGGAGAGUGGAAUUCCUGGUGUAGCGGUGAAAUGCGCAGAUAUCAGGAAGAACACCGGUGGCGAAGGCGGGUCUCUGGGCCGAUAUCGACGCUGAGGAGCGAAAGCGUGGGGAGCGAACAGG